AUUGAACGCUGGCGGAUGCUUUACACAUGCAAGUCGAACGGUAGAGGGGGCAACCCCUCGAGAGUGGCGAACGGGUGAGUAAUAUAUCGGAACGUGCCCAGUCGUGGGGGAUAACGUAGCGAAAGUUACGCUAAUACCGCAUACGAUCUAAGGAUGAAAGCGGGGGAUCGCAAGACCUCGCGCGAUUGGAGCGGCCGAUAUCAGAUUAGGUAGUUGGUGGGGUAAAGGCUCACCAAGCCAACGAUCUGUAGCUGGUCUGAGAGGACGACCAGCCACACUGGAACUGAGACACGAUCCAGACUCCUACGGGAGGCAGCAGUGGGGAAUUUUGGACAAUGGACGCAAGUCUGAUCCAGCCAUUCCGCGUGCAGGAUGAAGGCCCUCGGGUUGUAAACUGCUUUUGUACGGAACGAAAAGGUCUCUCUUAAUACGGGGGGCUCAUGACGGUACCGUAAGAAUAAGCACCGGCUAACUACGUGCCAGCAGCCGCGGUAA
rnacentral:rRNA from 1 species